UCCAGAGGGUGCGAGCGCUAAUCGGAAUAACUGGGCGUAAAGCGCACGUAGGUGGCGAGGUAAGUCGGGUGUGAAAGCCCCGGGCUCAACCUGGGAAUUGCAUUCGAGAAUGCAUUGCUGGAGUACGGAAGAGGAGGGCGGAAUUCCCGGUGUAGGGGUGAAAUGCGUAGAUAUCGGGAGGAACAUAAGUGGCGAAGGCGGCCCUCUGGUCCAGUACUGACACUCAAGUGCGAAAGCGUGGGGAGCAAACAGG
rnacentral:rRNA from 1 species